GAUGACUUUUCACAAGCCUUGCUAGUGAGUUCCAUCAUACGAGUGCUAGGAGACGGACAGCGCGACGAGGAAAAGCGCCGCCACAAUUUGUAAACACGCAACCUGCCACACGGGUCAGAGAAGACACCUUGUGACGUGGUUUGGGCAUGUGCCUUUCCUAAAUCCUGUAGACCUGAGGCUGACAUGCUGCCAAUGCC